GCGUUGGUCGUAUAAUGGUCAUUAUUCUUGCCUUCCACAACACCGGUAUGAUCUUGCGAUCUGUCGAGUACAGACGGAUCAAUGGAUCCUGGUAGGGCGUAAGUGAGCAAGAGACAGGGGUUCGAUUCCCCUCCAACGCA